rnacentral:rRNA from 1 species
UACGGAGGGGGCUAGCGUUGUUCGGAAUUACUGGGCGUAAAGCGCACGUAGGCGGCUUUGUAAGUUAGAGGUGAAAGCCCGGAGCUCAACUCCGGAAUUGCCUUUAAGACUGCAUCGCUCGAAUCAUGGAGAGGUGAGUGGAAUUCCGAGUGUAGAGGUGAAAUUCGUAGAUAUUCGGAGGAACACCAGUGGCGAAGGCGACUCACUGGACAUGUAUUGACGCUGAGGUGCGAAAGCGUGGGGAGCAAACAGG